rnacentral:tRNA from 1 species
GCGGGGGUUGCCAAGCUGGUCAACGGCGCAGGACUUAGGAUCCUGUCCUUAGCGGUUCAUGGGUUCGAAUCCCAUCCCCCGCA